GGGAUACAGUUAAGAUGUGGUGGCAAGAGAACUGAAUGUCUCAGAAAAUGUUAUAAAAAUUAAAUUUCAACCAGGGAGCUGUUGUCAGAAAUUUGGUAUUUUAUUUUACCACCAAUCCUAAAAAAAUUGGUUUGCCACUUAUAUUUCCUAAAAAAAAAAAAAAAUAAAUAGAUAGAUAAGCAAACAGCAACAACAACCAACUGGAUACUUACAUUUUUAAUUACUUCCUUGUUUCAGUACCUCAAUCAUACCUCAGUACAUUUUAAGAGAUUGAAGUACUUAGAAGCUAUAAAACCAUUAUUAUUAUUAUUAUUAUUAUUUUAUUAUUAUUGCUCUUAUGAAUGCUAUGUCUGUCAUGAAAAAGCUAAGUUCAGUGUAUGUGCUAUUAGUUGGAGUUUUCUGUGAUUUUGCCACUGUAGCUCCCACAUGUGUGGAGUACUAGAUCUCAUGGCUUGGUUAUUUUAUACCUCAGGGUUCUUAACCAGGGCACAGGCAACAAGUUUCCAACCACCAGCUGUGAUGCAUUGGUUGUGAUGGUGCUAGAUGUGUAGCUCCUACACAGUCUGGUGGUCAUGGAUGUCAUGUGUUGUGGUUUCCUCCUUUGUCCACGCCAGGAAAGCCUGCUCUCCUGCCAUGUGACUCCUCUGUUAUGUAACUCUAAACCACAACUGUGAGGAUGAGCAAACACUGACAAGGCUCUAUGGUUUGCAGACAGAUUCAACUAUGUCCUUCAAGGGAGUCUUCAUUUAGUGGGAAAGCAGGUCUGAUUACCUUGGAAGGUAAGUAUGAGGGAAACAUGAUUUAUUUCAAAUUUUGUAAGUAUUGUACAAAACAGGUAUGUAUUUAGAGAUUCUGAUGUGAAGCUCUCUCAUGAUGGAACUCUAAAGCAAAGCACUUUCUCUUUUGUCCCAGGUUUGGGGCCUCCAUACUGAUCUCUUGGUACUGUCUCUCCCCAUCUCUAAAAGAAGUCCAUGAUGUCAGCUACAUUACAGACUUGUGUUUUUUUUGUUGUUUUUUUUUUGUUUGUUUGUUUUUUGUUCAGACCCCAGAUUUCACAUUCAUUUUCUGGGCUUUGCUUUCAAUACCACAGAUUUGCAGAAUUGAAUGACAUGCUCUCUUCUGACUAAUGCUGAAGCUCCGGUAUUGCUGCUGACUUUCCUGAGGACAAACAAAUAACGGAGGGGAAAUGGAGCGGAAAAUUCCUUGUGGACACCUGCAGGAGUUGCAAAAUAAUAAUAAAAUUUAGGUGAAGGAAAAGUUCAUUCUGUGUCAUUGUUGUUUUUGUUUUCUUUUCCAUACAGUCGUAAACUGAAGGUCACAUUUUCUGCCCCCUGGCAGAGUGUAAGCAUGCCAGAACACUUCACAUUACGUAGAUCAUAUUUGUCUGAAAUGAUAAUAUCAUACCUAUAGUCUGCUGCAGGCUGAAAAGUAGCCUAUGCCUCAGAUACUGUUUUCUGCCUUUGCUUUUGUUACUCCAUCUUUGUAAGUCUUCAAAAGAGAAAUGAAGUUAUCCUAUUCAGAGAAAAC
rnacentral:lncRNA from 1 species